rnacentral:tRNA from 1 species
AGUCAAGAGCCCAAGGACACCGCCCUUUCACGGCGGUUAACAGGGGUCGAAUCCCCUAGGGGACGCCA